rnacentral:lncRNA from 1 species
AUGAUGAACGUGUAUAUUUUUAGCCCUCGGGGAUGCAGCAGCAGCCCAGAGCCCAGCCUCGCUGCCCUGUCAGGGAGGCAGCAGCCUUGUUCUCACGCCCUGCCAAACAAUGGGAGCGCUCAGCCAGGAUGGCUCCUUGCUAUGCCCCGCUGUGCUAUUUUCUCACGGUUCAUUGAGGCCGAAGAUGCUUUAGGCAGCAGAUUUGGAGAACGGGGAAGCGGGAACGCGGGAGAGAGAAGCUCUGCAAAAUUUCUCCGCAUUCGAGCCCCCGAGCUGGGUCCCUGCCGACAUCUGUUCCUGGAAGCUGGUGCCGCUCGGGAGGCGCGCGUGCAGCGGGGCGAUGCUGCGGGAUUGCUAGGCAACCCCACGCUGCCAGCAGCAAGGGGCCGGGGAGCAGCACGCAGCCGGGGCUCGCACCCGCUCCCCAGCAGGGAAAAGCGGGCAGGGGGAGCGGAGCCCACCGAGGAGCCUCACUGGGGGCCAGGAGCAGUGCCGGGGCCUGGCCGGGGAGAGGAGGAGGAGGAGGAGGAGGAGUGGCGAGGGGACGGGAACGGAGAAUGCGCGAGAGCAGCAGCUGAGGGAAGAGAAGCAGUUAGGAAAACACGAGUCAACAAAACCCUGCCUUUUGGCAAGAACCCAAACAAGGAGAGUGCCAAACAGCCAGUUCCAGAUCUGCAGAAAUCAUCUCUGCGAUGCAACAGAUGGUGCUUGGCCCGAGGAGAGCAGAGCAGAGCAGAGCAGAAGGCUGCAGCAGCCCCCCCCCGGGUCACCCUCAGAGGCUCCUGGGACCCUCGACCCGCAGGUGCCCAGACCAGGCUCACCCCCCCCUCUAAAGCUUUGCUCGCUCUCCCAGCCCUUUGCUCACCUGGUGCCCAAUACCCAAGGAGGCACUGCCUGCGCAGGUGAUGCUCAGCGCUCGUUUGGCUCUGAGGUGGCACAGCUGAGCCCAUCCCUGCACAGGGGUGAGCUCACCGAGCCCUGCCUCGGAUCAAAGGCCCGGAGGCACCUCGCUUCAGGAGCCUCCCCAGAGGUCUGGGGAAGAAUACUGGGUGCCUGCACAGCCACGGCAUGGACGGGGCAAUGACAAGGCAGAGCUCAGAUUUUUUUUUGGCAUGUGUCAGAAGCCCUGACCCAAAAAACCCGAAGCAGAACGUGUAACACCCGAUCAGAAAGUGAACGCGCGCCUGGUCAUGGACAAGCUCAGCCUACAAAGCAUUCUCCAGCACCGGAGAGUCGAGAGCCAUGAUAAUGUGCUCUGAAAUAAUGCUUUUUUAAAUACAAUUUAUGAUAGAUUUCAUAGCUAAGUUAUGCAACAUAAUGAGCAAAUCUAAAAUGUAAUUGUCACUGCGCAUUAACAGCAAAAUCCUGAACCUCUAUUAUACUAACAAACUUAUUAAAUCAGUGAACAUUGCAUUGCAUCAGUCAAUUACUAAACCGAUGCUCAGAUCACUGGAACAAUCUGAUAUCCAUUAGACAGGCAGAAGGAGGGGAGCACAUCACUGGAGCUGCCCACGGGGUGACAUGUUUUAAAACAUUCAAUGUAUUUACGCUUUUGAUGCAGUGCUGCUCCUGCGGGAUGUUUUGCUGCCACUUCCCCUGUUCCCAACGCAUCCCUAGAGUGCCGCUGUGCUGCGCAUGCACUCGAUGGGAAAAGGGCUGGGAUCCAGCCUCACAACGCUGCCUUCUCCGAGGAGCCUGAAGUUUGCCAGGGAGCCUGCAGGCCUGGGCCCCCUGGGGCAGGCACAGAUCUGAGAUCAUCCCUGGCUCCACAGCGGGCUGGCGGACACCCGCCAGGGCCACACGUUUUCAGCAAAGGGCAUUUGCUGCAACAGCAGGACACAGCACGUGAAGGCUGGCACAGACUCGGCCGUGUGCCCCCCGGUGCUCAGUGCCCAUCCGCUGCUGAAACCCCGUCCCCAGCAGCGCUCCCUCCUCGCGAGGUUGGUAAGCACGGGGUAAGCCGAUCCUGGAAAGGCAUCCACGCAAACAUCUAAAGUAAAGUGUGCUUUGCACCUUGGUGUAGUGAUUUGACACAGCACUAAUUAUGCAAAUUAAUCAUCGGUAAAUCAGGUACGUGUUUACUUAUUUAUUUUGCGUUUUGCACAGCAACCAGGCAGGAGGAGUGUUGUGAAAGAAAAGCUGCUCUAUUUAUUCUGAUAAGAAAUGUUUGGUAACAUGUUGCAUGAUCCAACCUCCCCACGUUCUUUUUCAGAUUAAAUUCUAAAUUGAUUUGCUGGUAUCAUACCGUUCAUAGCUCUCAAUAUGUCAUCGCGGCUAAUGAACCAUGCCAGGGACACAUUUAUAACCCUCUAUUAGCCUCUUCCAUCAGGAAGGGAUUUUUUUUCCCCCCUCCUUGCUCUGAGGUUCUGAAAGUUACAAAACAAAAUAAAUCAAAAACCGACCAAACAAACCACCGGAACCAGAAGCAGCAGCAGACGUUACUGGAACUCAGACACUCCUGUGGCUGCCUCCGCUCCCACCUCGGGAUGUGGCUUUGAUGCGAGCUGCAAAGCAGCCCGGGAUAAGUCACCCAAACCCCACCGAUUCCCUACGCCCAGCCGAGCAGAGCUCGGGCUGCUUUCUGAGCACCGUUUACAAACUUCCUCAAGCAGCAGCCUCAGUGCACAGAAGGCAGAGAAGGAAGGCAGCUGCUGAGACCUUCCUGGGGCAAGUCCCUGCAGCUGGGACUGGGGACCCUGCUCUGGAGGUGCCCCCAGUGCAGCACCACCGAGGUGGCCGUGCCGUGCAGAGCCCGCUCUGUGCCCCCACGCCUGCCGCAGCAGCUCCAUGCACAGCCUGCACCUCCCAAGCUGGGUCUGCUCCUCGGCACCAGGCAGGGCAGCCCCACGGACCCACCAGCGUUUUGUCACCUCAAAGCAAACACUUCUGCGCUUGGUUUCUCUGCCUGCGUGCUUUCCCAAGUGAGGGUUGGGACAAAAUUCCCGCUUUUUGGAUGCAGCUCAUCUCCAGUGGUGAAUGGCCGAGGCUGGGAGAUGGUGGUGGGAAGAGAAAUGCAGUAGUGAUAGAGGGGCUGCCCUCACCUUGUGGUGAUUGCUGCAUGUGCUGCAGGAAGACAGCGUUUAAACCAUGAGUCGAGUCCCCCUUCAUUCCAAAUGUAGUGCUUCAGGAACGGAGAGACAACUCUAUCGGGGGAACAAGAGCUAAUUAAAUUUACUGGGAUCAUUGAAGAGGAAAUUAUUUAAUAUUCUGCAUGGAAUUUAAUAUCGGAAAGCAUGAAGGGCCUUGUUCCAUCAGAGAUCGGUUCCUUCCCACACCCCAGUUCACACUGCACACCCAGCCCUGCCGCAGGCCAGGGGCAGCACAGCGGUGCCGGGUGGCCAUGAGAACCUGGGCUGGGGAGCAGCACCCAUGGGCUGCUGCUGCAAGAGCACCCUCUGUGCUCCCAGGGCAUCCUCUGUGCUCCCGACUGCUGCCACACUGGGCACCCAUGGGGUACAGGGCUGCCUUGUCUCAGGUGAGCACCCACAUCCACACGGGGCCAUCAGCACUGACCUUAAACACCGUCAUCCAGCCCCGUUCUGACAGCCAAAACGUUGUGGCAGCUUAACCCACCCCCACACACAAAUUUUGCUGCUCAGCCCAAGUUGCAGCCUGGGCAGGGUGCUCCAGGUUCUGGGAUCAGGAGGACAGGGAGUGAACGCUCUCCCUGGCCGUGCACCUCUGCGCUGCCGGCUCCCCGCAGCAGCCUCCCCCCGUUUGCACUGCAGCAGGAUCCGACUGUUCCCAUUCCAUGCACUUCGUGCCUGCAGCUCUCCAGCUUGCCCCGGC